GACGAACGCUGGCGGCACGCCUAACACAUGCAAGUCGAGCAGCAGCGCGAUAUGUAGCAAUACAUAUUGGCGGCGAGCGGCGGACGGGUGAGGAACACGUAGGAACCUACCCUCGAGUGGGGGAUAACCAAGGGAAACUUUGGCUAAUACCGCAUGAUUUCGAGAGAGCAAAGCUGCCGCAAGGUGGCGCUCGAGGAGGGGCCUGCGUCCGAUUAGCUAGUUGGUGAGGUAAGAGCUCACCAAGGCGAUGAUCGGUAACUGGUCUGAGAGGACGACCAGUCACACUGGGACUGAGACACGGCCCAGACUCCUACGGGAGGCAGCAGUGGGGAAUAUUGGACAAUGGGGGCAACCCUGAUCCAGCGAUGCCGCGUGAGUGAAGAAGGCCUUCGGGUCGUAAAGCUCUUUAGGUUGGGAAGAAGAGUGAUGGAGGAAAUGCUAUCACUUUGACGGUACCGACAGAAUAAGCACCGGCAAACUCUGUGCCAGCAGCCGCAGUAAAAC
rnacentral:rRNA from 1 species